rnacentral:rRNA from 1 species
GUAGGGCGCGAGCGUUGUCCGGAUUUAUUGGCGUAAAGGAGCUCGUAGGCGGGCUUGUCGCGAUUCGUCCGUGAAAACCUGCGGCUCAACUGCAGGCUGGCGGUCGAAUACGGGCAGGCUGGAGUUCGGUAGGGGAGACUGGGAAUUCCUGGAUGUAGCGGUGAAAUGACGCAGAUAUCAGGAGGAACACCGAUGGCGAAGGCAGGUCUCUGGGCCACUACUGACGCUGAGAAGCGAAAGCGUGGGGAGCGAACAGG